CUCGUCCAAGUGAUGUAGGAGCUGUUUGGCUUUUAAAUGGAUUUGACAGAGGUUUGUUGGUUUUCUGCAGCCGUUGACAUUUUUAACUGCGCAUGCAAUUGGAUUUAAUGUGAAUCAUGGACUAAUGGUGAUAAAGAUGACUUUGGUUUUAGAUGUUCUGGUUUCUGUGGGUAGUCAUGAAUUGGAUGCAAUGUAUUGAAAAUGUGGGUCGAUUGAUUUGAUGGUCCCUCCCAAGAUGGUAAGGCCAGGGAUGGUUGAUUAAAACGGUGCGUUUAAAAUUGUUAAAAAGUAUUAAAAUUGUUAAAAGUGAUAAAAUUAUUAUUAUUAUUAUUAUUAGGUCUUCAGAAAAAGCAUGUAUAUAAUAUGAAAGUAAAUAAAAAGAAAAUAAAUAAGAGGCAUCAUAAUGAUGUGUGCCACUUGCACUAGUUUCGUUCUUCACAGUUGUAGUUAGCGGUAUACAAUAUAUGGGCAUAUGUUACCAGUGCAGGUUGCAAUUUAAUGUUAACAACCCUAUUUAAUAAAAGGUUAUAUUAUGUUUAGCAAGAGAUAAUAUAAUUUAAUAUUUUAAAUACUUUAUUAUACUAUAGUUUAAUAUUAAAUUAUAUAUUAUAAGCAGGUCUACGUUUCUAAUAUCCCUAGCUUUGAGCUUAUCUAAAUUGACAACUGAAAUUUGGAUAAGUUGCAGAGCUUUUAUUUUUAAUAUAUGGAGUGCUUGCUUAAUAUUAUAUAUUUGAUUUACCAUGCACCCUAAACAACUCAAGAGUUGUCAACUACCGGGGAGAUAAAUAAAUUAUUUUUCUGAAUCUUUUCUUUUAUUGUUGUGUAAUUAUGUAUAUCACUGAGAUUUUAUUGUUGGAAAUAAUUUGUUUUAUUUGGUUUUAUGCUCACAAUAACUAAAUUUACUCUCAUUUAGAGUAAAUAUAUCUGUAUAUAUUUAUUAGAGUUUUAUAUGUUUCGUUUAAUAAUAAUGCAAAAAGAUGAAUAUUUUUUUUU